UACGUAGGGGGCAAGCGUUGUCCGGAAUCAUUGGGCGUAAAGAGCUCGUAGGCGGCUUGUUGCGUCGGCUGUGAAAACCCACAGCUCAACUGUGGGCUUGCGGUCGAUACGGGCAGGCUAGAGUUCGGCAGGGGAGACUGGAAUUCCUGGUGUAGCGGUGAAAUGACGCAGAUAUCAGGAGGAACACCGGUGGCGAAGGCGGGUCUCUGGGCCGAUACUGACGCUGAGACGCGAAAGCGUGGGGAGCAAACAGG
rnacentral:rRNA from 1 species